rnacentral:rRNA from 1 species
GUAGUCCACGCCGUAAACGAUGAGUGCUAAGUGUUAGGGGGUUUCCGCCCCUUAGUGCUGCAGCUAACGCAUUAAGCACUCCGCCUGGGGAGUACGGUCGCAAGACUGAAACUCAAAGGAAUUGACGGGGGCCCGCACAAGCGGUGGAGCAUGUGGUUUAAUUCGAAGCAACGCGAAGAACCUUACCAGGUCUUGACAUCCUCUGACAAUCCUAGAGAUAGGACGUCCCCUUCGGGGGCAGAGUGACAGGUGGUGCAUGGUUGUCGUCAGCUCGUGUCGUGAGAUGUUGGGUUAAGUCCCGCAACGAGCGCAACCCUUGAUCUUAGUUGCCAGCAUUCAGUUGGGCACUCUAAGGUGACUGCCAGUGAUAUACUGGA